rnacentral:rRNA from 1 species
UUAAAUUGAAGAGUUUGAUCAUGGCUCAGAUUGAACGCUGGCGGCAGGCCUAACACAUGCAAGUCGAACGGUAACAGGAAGCAGCUUGCUGCUUCGCUGACGAGUGGCGGACGGGUGAGUAAUGUCUGGGAAACUGCCUGAUGGAGGGGGAUAACUACUGGAAACGGUAGCUAAUACCGCAUAAUGUCGCAAGACCAAAGAGGGGGACCUUCGGGCCUCUUGCCAUCGGAUGUGCCCAGAUGGGAUUAGCUUGUUGGUGGGGUAACGGCUCACCAAGGCGACGAUCCCUAGCUGGUCUGAGAGGAUGACCAG